rnacentral:lncRNA from 1 species
UUGGCACCUUUUGAGGACAGAGCUUUCCACUCACAAUAACCUGAGAGUAAGAAUUUGUGUUGAAAAAUAAAAGUGUGUGUGAGAUAUUUUAUAAAGAGGAAAAAACGAUUACAGAAUAUUGGGAUUUGUAUUAACCUCUCACAUCCCUUAGCACCACUCUCACCAAAGAGUUUAAACUUCUGAUUCAGAGAUUACCACCAUGGAAGGUGAUCGUAGGAGUACAUAUGACAAACCGUACUAAAGUAAAUCAUCAUUAUUUAAAAAAAAUAAAAAUAAAACAUCUAAUAUAAGAUGUUCC